rnacentral:rRNA from 1 species
AUUGAACGCUGGCGGCAUGCUUUACACAUGCCAGUCGAACGGCAGCGCGGGCUUCGGCCUGGCGGCGAGUGGCGAACGGGUGAGUAAUGCAUCGGAACGUGCCCAGUAGUGGGGGAUAGCCCGGCGAAAGCCGGAUUAAUACCGCAUACGACCUGAGGGUGAAAGCGGGGGACCGAAAGGCCUCGCGCUAUUGGAGCGGCCGAUGUCGGAUUAGCUAGUUGGUGGGGUAAAGGCUUACCAAGGCGACGAUCCGUAGCUGGUCUGAGAGGACGACCAGCCACACUGGGACUGAGACACGGCCCAGACUCCUACGGGAGGCAGCAGUGGGGAAUUUUGGACAAUGGGGGCAACCCUGAUCCAGCCAUGCCGCGUGCGGGAAGAAGGCCUUCGGGUUGUAAACCGCUUUUGUUCGGGAAGAAAUCCUCUGGGCUAAUACCCCGGGGGGAUGGCGGUACCGGAAGAAUAAGCACCGGCUAACUACGUG